rnacentral:rRNA from 2 species
UACGUAGGGCGCAAGCGUUGUCCGGAAUUAUUGGGCGUAAAGAGCUCGUAGGCGGUUUGUCGCGUCUGCUGUGAAAACCUCAGGCUCAACCUGGGGCUUGCAGUGGGUACGGGCAGACUAGAGUGCGGUAGGGGUGACUGGAAUUCCUGGUGUAGCGGUGGAAUGCGCAGAUAUCAGGAGGAACACCGAUGGCGAAGGCAGGUCACUGGGCCGCAACUGACGCUGAGGAGCGAAAGCAUGGGGAGCGAACAGG